CAGAGUUUGCAAGACUCCCUAAAACCAUUGUGAACCUACCUUCUACCGUUUGCUUCGGCGGGCGGGGCCCCAGCGCCCCCCCGGCCCCCCCGCGGGCGCCCGCCGGAGGAUACCCAAAACUCUUGACAUUAGUGGGCCUCUCUGAGUAUUCUUUACUGAAUAAGUCA
rnacentral:misc_RNA from 1 species